rnacentral:rRNA from 1 species
GACGAACCGUACGAACGUUAUUCGGAAUCACUGGGCUUAAAGGGUGCGUAGGCGGCGCUGAAAGUUGGGUGUGAAAUCCCUCGGCUCAACCGAGGAACUGCAUUCAAAACUACAGUGCUUGAGGGAGAUAGAGGUGAGCGGAACUUAGGGUGGAGCGGUGAAAUGCGUUGAUAUCCUAAGGAACACCCGUGGCGAAAGCGGCUCACCGGGUCUCUUCUGACGCUGAGGCACGAAAGCUAGGGGAGCGAACGGG